GAUGAAGAACGUAGCGAAAUGCGAUAAGUAGUGUGAAUUGCAGAAUUCAGUGAAUCAUCGAAUCUUUGAACGCACAUUGCGCCCUUUGGUAUUCCAAAGGGCAUGCCUGUUCGAGCGUCAUUCGUACCCUCAAGCUUUGCUUGGUGUUGGGCGUCUUGUCUCUAGCUUUGCUGGAGACUCGCCUUAAAGUAAUUGGCAGCCGGCCUACUGGUUUCGGAGCGCAGCACAAGUCGCACUCUCUAUCAGCAAAGGUCUAGCAUCCAUUAAGCCUUUUUUUCAACUUUUGACCUCGGAUCAGGUAGGGAUACCCGCUGAACUUAAGCAUAUCAAUAAGCGGAGGA
rnacentral:misc_RNA from 1 species